rnacentral:rRNA from 1 species
AGAGCGAACGCUGGCGGCAGGCCUAACACAUGCAAGUCGAGCGGCCGUAGCAAUACGGCAGCGGCAGACGGGAUAGUAACACGUGGGAACGCGCCCUUCGGUUCGGAAUAACUCAGGGAAACUUGAGCUAAUACCGGAUACGCCCUUACGGGGAAAGAUUUAUUGCCGAAGGAACGGCCCGCGUCCGAUUAGCUAGUUGGUGAGGUAAUGGCUCACCAAGGCUACGAUCGGUAGCUGGUCUGAGAGGAUGACCAGCAUCACUGGGACUGAGACACGGCCCAGACUCCUACGGGAGGCAGCAGUGGGGAAUAUUGGACAAUGGGCGCAAGCCUGAUCCAGCCAUGCCGCGUGGAUGAUGACGGCCUUAGGGUUGUAAAGUCCUUUUAACGGGGAAGAUAAUGACGGUACCCGUAGAAUAAGCCCCGGCUAACUUCGUGCCAGCAGCCGC